CACGCNGUAAACGAUGAGUGCUAGGUGUUAGGCCCUUUCCGGGGCUUAGUGCCGGAGCUAACGCAAUAAGCACUCCGCCUGGGGAGUACGACCGCAAGGUUGAAACUCAAAGGAAUUGACGGGGGCCCGCACAAGCGGUGGAGCAUGUGGUUUAAUUCGAAGCAACGCGAAGAACCUUACCAGGUCUUGACAUCCCGAUGCUAUUCUUAGAGAUAGGAAGUUACUUCGGUACAUCGGAGACAGGUGGUGCAUGGUUGUCGUCAGCUCGUGUCGUGAGAUGUUGGGUUAAGUCCCGCAACGAGCGCAGCCCUUAUUGUUAGUUGCCAUCAUUAAGUUGGGCACUCUAGCGAGACUGCCGGUAAUAAACCGGAGGAAGGUGGGGAUGACGUCAAAUCAUCAUGCCCCUUAUGACCUGGGCUACACACGUGCUACAAUGGUCGGUACAACGAGUUGCGAGCCGGUGACGGCAAGCUAAUCUCUGAAAGCCGAUCUCAGUUCGGAUUGGAGGCUGCAACUCGCCU
rnacentral:rRNA from 1 species